rnacentral:rRNA from 1 species
UACGUAGGGGGCAAGCGUUGUCCGGAAUCAUUGGGCGUAAAGCGCGCGUAGGCGGCCCGGUAAGUCCGUUGUGAAAGUCAAAGGCUCAACCUUUGAAUGCCGACGGAUACUGCCGGGCUAGAGUCCGGAAGAGGCGAGUGGAAUUCCUGGUGUAGCGGUGAAAUGCGCAGAUAUCAGGAAGAACACCUAUGGCGAAGGCAGCUCUCUGGGACGGUACUGGACGCUGAGGAGCGAAAGUGUGGGGAGCGAACAGG